CCUACGGGAGGCAGCAGUGGGGAAUAUUGGACAAUGGGGGCAACCCUGAUCCAGCCAUGCCGCGUGUGUGAAGAAGGCCCUCGGGUUGUAAAGCACUUUCAGUGAGGAAGAACGCCUGGUGGUUAAUACCCAUCAGGAAAGACAUCACUCACAGAAGAAGCACCGGCUAACUCCGUGCCAGCAGCCGCGGUAAUACGGAGGGUGCGAGCGUUAAUCGGAAUUACUGGGCGUAAAGCGCGCGUGGGUGGCUUGAUAAGCCGGUUGUGAAAGCCCCGGGCUCAACCUGGGAACGGCAUCCGGAACUGUCAAGCUAGAGUGCAGGAGAGGAAGGUAGAAUUCCCGGUGUAGCGGUGAAAUGCGUAGAGAUCGGGAGGAAUACCAGUGGCGAAGGCGGCCUUCUGGACUGACACUGACACUGAGGUGCGAAAGCGUGGGUAGCAAACAGGAUUAGAUACCCCAGUAGUC
rnacentral:rRNA from 1 species